GGAAGUAAAAAGUCGUAACAAGGUCUCCGUUGGUGAACCAGCGGAGGGAUCAUUACCGAGUUAUUCAACUCAUCAACCCUGUGAACUUACCUAAACGUUGCUUCGGCGGGAACAGACGGCCCCGCAAAACGGGCCGCCCCCGCCAGAGGACCCCUAACUCUGUUUCUAUAAUGUUUCUUCUGAGUAAAACAAGCAAAUAAAUUAAAACUUUCAACAACGGAUCUCUUGGCUCUGGCAUCGAUGAAGAACGCAGCGAAAUGCGAUAAGUAAUGUGAAUUGCAGAAUUCAGUGAAUCAUCGAAUCUUUGAACGCACAUUGCGCCCGCCAGUAUUCUGGCGGGCAUGCCUGUUCGAGCGUCAUUACAACCCUCAGGCCCCCGGGCCUGGCGUUGGGGAUCGGCGGAGCCCCCCGUGGGCACACGCCGUCCCCCAAAUACAGUGGCGGUCCCGCCGCAGCUUCCAUCGCGUAGUAGCUAACACCUCGCGACUGGAGAGCGGUGCGGCCACGCCGUAAAACACCCCAACUCUUCUGAAGUUGACCUCGAAUCAGGUAGGAAUACCCGCUGAACUUAAGCAUAUCAAU
rnacentral:rRNA from 1 species